rnacentral:tRNA from 2 species
UCUACUAAAGGAUAAUAGCAU